rnacentral:lncRNA from 10 species
CCUGGCUAAUUUUUUGUAGUUUUAGUAGAGACAGGGUUUCACCGUGUUAGCCAGGAUGGUCUCGAUCUCCUGACCUUGUGAUCUGCCCGCCUUGGCCUCCCAAAGUGCUGGGAUUACAGGCGUGAGCCACCACGCCUGGCCUCAAACUUUUUUAAAGAUGAUAACUACCUCCUUCUUUUCCUCCCAUUUUUCUUCCUUCCUUCCUCUUUCCCUCCCUCCUUCCUUUUUAGGAAAUCAGGUCUUACUAAAAAAACUCAGGCUCAAGUUAAAAGCAGAGGUGCUCUGGCUAGAAUGGAGACAGUGCCCCAGAAUUGCGCCUGUUUGCUCAGCUCUAUCUACCCCGAGGAAGCCCUAGCACCCUAAGGAAUCCAGUUUGAAAGACAGUGAUUAGGUUUUCUGACGUAUUCUACGUUGUAGAUAGCCUUAAUCAGUAGCCCAUUGUUGAAGCAAUGUUUAAGACCCCCAAAUUUUAAUACAGAUGAUAAAAAGAAGAAGGAUCUUGGCAGAAUUUUAAAAUCCUGCCAUAAAGCUGGGUUUUCUUAACAUCAGCACUACUAUCAUUUUGGGCUGGAUAAUUCUUUGUUGUGAUGGGUGGGGGGCUCUGUUGUAUAGGAUGUUUAGCAGCAUCUCUGGCCCUACCAGAUGCUAGCAGCACCUCCGCAUUUAUGAUAAAAGUUAUGAUAAAUUCCAGACACUGCCAAAUGUUCUUGGGGAAUAAAUCAUCCCCAGUUCAGAACCACCGCUAUAAAGGGGUGUAAAUCCAUAUCCCUGAAUCCAAUGAGUCCUGGCUUCCAGCUUGUUAAACUCAUCAGCUAAGGGGAGUACCUACUGGGCUGUCUAGCUGUAGUAGUUGCUGUAUUAAGUUUAUGAUCUCUGUUUUUUUUGUUUGUUUGUUUGCUUGUUUUUUUUUUUUCAGAUGGAGUCUCACUCUGUCACCAGGCUGGAGUGCAGUGGCAUGAUCUCAGUUUACCGCAACCUCUGCCUCCUGGGUUUAAGCGAUUCUCCUGCCUUAGCCUCCCAAGUAGCUGGGACUACAGGCGCGCACCACCACGCCCAGAAAAAUUGGAACAGAAAAAUAUCUAACUUGCUGAGCAUUUGAUGGGAAAAAGUAAAAGAUAACUUCCAUUUGGUACACAACUUAUUGUACAUAGAGCUAUGAUUUGAGGAGGCAUCUAAUUUCUGAACAAAUUCACCAAGAAAUACCAUCACUUAAAGUCAUUAUCGCAAUCAUGCUGCAGUGAACACUCUAUACAAAAUGGCCAGGUCAUUAAACAUCAAAGAUGGAAAACAAGCCAGCAAUCUCUUCUGUUCUCUUCAAAGUGAAUGCAAAAUGUGCAUGUUUAUCCAUCUGUAAAUGGCUUAGAGAUCCUAAAUCUCUCAAUAUUACUGGAACCAGCUGCUUUGAAAUGCCAAAGGGAAGGAGGAUGUUUCCCAAGGCCCCCAUCAAUGGACUGUGCUGUAGGUAACUGUGCUGACAUCAUGGUGAGUUCUACCUUUGCCCUUGGAGCCCUGAUUGCUGUUUUCCACAGUCAGUUAACUGCCUCAGUUGGUUUCUUGAAUUGUGCUAAAUUUUGAUCACAGCCAGCCCCAUAUAUUUGUCCUGAGUCGGGGAGCAUGAGCACAGGCAGGGGACAGGAAGGUGUGGCCAGCACCUUCUCCUCUCACCUCAUUAACAGAACCCAUCUUGGCUCCCUGCCUCUGCUUCCAGUCACACUGCCCCUGCUGAGUGAGCAGCUGUGCUCUGUUGACCUCCCGGCUACUUAGCUAAAGGGCAAUCAUUCCUUUCAAACCUCCUUCUUUUCCCCUCUCAAGUCCUCAAUAAUCCCUGAACCACCUGAGCAUGUUCCUUCAUGUUCCAUCUGGAGGGAAAUGGUCACCCGCCCUUACGUAAAACAUUGAAGAUACAUGAUCAGGAGAGCUAUCCCAGGUGUCCCAGGCAGGCCCCGAGGACAAAGAGUAGGACCACAUCUUAGGACUGUGCCUUGCACACCCUCCCCAGGCGCACCCUCCCCAGGAUCCCCAUGAUCCCAAUUUUUCAUCUCCACUCGGCAAACUAUGCUUAGAAGGCUGACUGUGCACACAGUGCCCACAAAGGAGCUGUGAGCUGCCAUAUUGGCCUUUAAUCAAGAUUUUCUUGUUUUUUUUUUGUGGGCCUGAGUCAUCUCUGCACAUAAGCCUUUUGCUCUCCCUAAGCUCACAAGUAAUGAGGGUGUGGACACUCCUGGCCCAGCCUAACACUGGCUCCUGGUGAAUAAACCCAAGAGGGUGUGGCCCCUUGGGCACCCUCUUACCCUCUCCUCCUUAAUCUGAAGCUUCACGCCGGCCUGGGUCUCCCUACCCAUCUUCGAAGCCCAGGCAGUCCGAGACGGUGCCUCUGCCUUGUGUGGAAACAUCUUUGUUAGUGUCACUCCUCUGCUCAGCAUCCCCUUGUUCAUUCCAUCUCCCUCCAGUGAAUUCACAGAAGGAAUGUUUAUGAAUCAGAGCAACUCCUAUCUUCGAAAAAUAUUCACUCAUUCAUUUAACAAACAUUUAUUGAGUGACUGUAUUAUGCCAGGCACUGUGCACUGUCCUAGGCACUUGAUAACACCCAAGCCUAAGAUACACCAAUUUACCUUAGAAGACCAUAUUCUCUGAUUUUGCCCCUCUUCCAAAACACGGCACUGACAGAGCCCAGAACAUUCCAGAAUUGGAAGGGACUUUCUAAAUCAUUUAAAUCAUCUGGCCAUUUUACAGACCAGCAAGCCUAGGAGCAAAGCCUAGGUCUUCAAGGCUAGGAAUCUUUGUGCUUCCUUGUUUACUGUCUCUUCUACUCAUUUGGAAAGCAAUGCUCUGUGUGACCUGGGGCAAGCCCCUUCCUCUCUCUGGGUCUCAACUUUCUUCCUGUAAAAUGGUGAAAUUGGGUGAAAGAGUCCUUAACGCUGCAUCUAAGACUUUCUGGAUCUCAUUGCAUACUGCUUUUAAACACUCUUGGGGUUCAUGGUGUAUUUCCACUUACAUGUGUUAUAUCUUCCCAACAAGGACAUAUGUUCUGUGUGGUCGGGGGAGAGGAGGGAAGGGCCAUUUAACAUCCCGGGUUACCCACAGCACUACAUACACAUUGCUGUUUACAUUGUGGGAGUUCAACUGCUUUUAGUUGACUGAACUGGAGGAGAGCAUACUGUUUUUUGUUUUUUGUUUUUUUUUCUGAGAUGUAGUCUCACUCUGUUGCCCAGGCUGGAGUACGGUGGCGCAAUCUCUGCUCACUGCAACCUCCACCUCCCGGGUUCAGGCAAUUCUCCUGCCUCAGCCUCCUGAAUAGUGGGGACUACAGGCGUGCACUACCACGUCCAGUUAAUUUUUUAGUAGAGAUGGGGUUUCACCAUGUUGGCCAGGGUGGUCUCGAUCUCCUGACCUCGUGAUCCACCUACCUUGGCCUCCCAAAGUGCUGGGAUUACAGGUGUGAGCCACAGUGCCUGGGUGAUCACAUGUUUUUUAAAACAUUAGGCCACAAACGAGCAAAAGACUAUUCUGAUAUCAUACAUCACUACUUAAAUGAGUCAAACAAAAGCCCUGGUCACAAGAAAUCCUGAAUGUAGAAUACUGCCAUCUCUGAUUGAAAAAAAUAGCAAUACCAUUCUAUUCUACAGAUUUCUACUUUCUCUGUUAUUUGGGCUCAAAUAUAAAUGUAUUUAUGUAUGUAUAUUUCAUAGCUAGGAUCAAUUAUUAGUUAGAAGCAUAGGCUUUGAAGCAUUAAUGAGUCCAAUUUUUUUUUUUCAGAUGGAGUUUUGCUCUCGUUGCCCAAGCUGGAGUGCAAUGGUGCAAUCUCGGCUCACCGCAACUUCUGCCUCCUGGGUUCAAGCGAUCCUCCUGCCUCAGCCUCCCGAGUAGCUGGGAUUACAGGUGUGUGCUACCACGCCUGGCUAAUUUUUUGUAUUUUUAUUAGAAAUGGGUUUCACCAUGUUAGCCAGGCUGGUCUCGAACUCCUGACCUUAGAUGAUCUGCCCACCUUGGCCUCCCAAACUGCUGGGAUUACAGGUUUGAGCCACCGUGCCUGGCCAAGUCCAAAUUUUUUAUACUUCUUUAAGAAAAUGUGUGGCCAGGUGCAGUGGCCUGAGAUUACAGGGGUGAGCCUGUAAUCCCAGCACUUUGGGAAGCCAAGGCAGGAGGACUGCUUAAGCUCAGGAGUCUGAGAACAGCCUGGGCAACAAAGUGAGACGUUGUCUCUACAAAAAAUUAAAAUAUGAGUGGGGCGUUGUGGUGUGUGCCUGUAGUCCCAGCUACUCAGGUGGCUGAGGUGGGAGGAUUGCUUGAGCCCAAGAAGUUGAGGCUGUAGUGAGCUAUGAUCAUGCCGCUGCAUUCUAGCCUGAGCGACAAAGUGAGACCCUGUCUCAAACAAACAAAAGAAAAUUUGCAUCUGACUGCUCUUAACUACACAAGGGAAUCAGGCUUAACAACACGCUCAGCAGCUGUGUGACUAUGGCCAAUUUGCUUAAGCUCUGUGCUUCAGUUUCCUACUGCAUAGAAUUGGUAUUAAAUGAAUUACAUUGGAUUAAAUGAGUCAAUAUUUAUAAAGUCCCUAACACAAUGCCUGGCACAUGAAAACUGCUGUUUCACUGUCUGUUAAAGAAAAUAACACACAUACAUGUGCUAACCCUUACAACUGGGGCACAAUUGGGAAUGAAAAUAUAAUUUCAAAUAUUUACAUAAUUCAUGAAUUCCCAAUACUUUCACUGAUGGUGACAAAAGCUAGAGUUUAGUAAUGUCAGACAUAAUUUUUAUAUACACAUAUAUGGUAGGUAAUGUUUUCCACAGAGUGUGAAAAGGAGAUUUCCCAUGGCUAUGGAUGCAGGGUGGAGAGUUAAUUGCAAGGAUCACAAGUGAUAGUAAUCAUCAAAGCCACACAUACAGGGUUCAGAGACUAGUUAGGUCUUCUUGUGUCUUUGGUACGUACUUAAUGUGCAGUUGACUGUGGACUGUCUGCUAAUGAAGGAAAUCAAUACCAGGGAUAAUGGUGAUGUAAGGAUUAGAAUCAUCUACAUGCAGCGAAUUAGUUCCUUAAUGAUGGAGGGUUCCUGGCACUACCUAGAGGUCAAAGCUCCUCUUGCUCAUGCUUUACAGACUGUGGCAAAAUCCCAGGGACCCUUUCUGAGGCACAUUAUGGGCUCAGGUCAGUAGCAUCUAUGACAUGGAAAGAUCAAAAAAGAAUAUUCCAGGGGGUCAGGACACCACCCAAUCAUAAACCAACAAACCCAAGGCUGGGACCAUCCUUGGUUUAAUUCUUCUGGCUCCUAGCUGCCUUGAAGCGGGCACCAGCCCUCACCUCUGUUUCUGAACACUGAGCUACAGGCCAAACCUAUGGACUUCUUUCCUUUAAACCUACUCAGGAGGGUAGGUCCUGAAUCCUGCAGGAGAGCUGGGCUGUUGUCACCUCCUUCCUCUGGCUAUCUUGGCAGCAAAGCCAAACCAAACACCAGCUACUUACUAACCUGGGCCUGGGGUGGGAGCUGUCCCAGCACAAGCAACAACUUAGCAGCUUCACUCACCACACAAUCGUCGAUGAUUUCUGCCAGGCGUGUCCGGUGUUUCCGCCCCAGCCGCAUGAUCUUUUUCCACGUGUAGUAGUACUCCACGCACUGAGCCACCGUCUUGGACUUCACCUGCCGGGAAAGCGAACUCAAGGUUAGCUCCAGCAAUGGGCAGAGAGCAAAGGUAGCAAGCAUUUUUGAAUAUUUAAUUUUGUAAUAGGGUAAUAAACAAGUUUGUACAGUUCAAGAAAAAAAUGUACCUGGUGAAAGGCCUCCUUCACACGCCUGUCCUUACCCCUCACCCUGCAACACAGGUAGCCCCUUGCAUUAAUUUCUUUGGCUACCAUUCCAGAUUUUUUUUUUUUUUUUGAGACGGAGUCUUGCUCUGUCGCCCAGGCUGGAGUGCAGUGGCGCAAUCUCGGAUCACUGCAACCUCUGCCUCCCAGGUUCACACCAUUCUCCUGCCUCAGCCUCCCGAGUAGCUGGGACUACAGGCAUCCGCCACCAUGCCCGGCUAAUUUUUUGUAUUUUUAGUAGAGACGGGGUUUCAUUGUGUUAGCCAGGAUGGUCU